rnacentral:rRNA from 1 species
GACGAACGCUGGCGGCGUGCUUAACACAUGCAAGUCGAACGGAAAGGCCCUGCUUUUGUGGGGUGCUCGAGUGGCGAACGGGUGAGUAACACGUGAGUAACCUGCCCUUGACUUUGGGAUAACUUCAGGAAACUGGGGCUAAUACCGGAUAGGAGCUCCUGCUGCAUGGUGGGGGUUGGAAAGUUUCGGCGGUUGGGGAUGGACUCGCGGCUUAUCAGCUUGUUGGUGGGGUAGUGGCUUACCAAGGCUUUGACGGGUAGCCGGCCUGAGAGGGUGACCGGCCACAUUGGGACUGAGAUACGGCCCAGACUCCUACGGGAGGCAGCAGUGGGGAAUAUUGCACAAUGGGCGGAAGCCUGAUGCAGCAACGCCGCGUGCGGGAUGACGGCCUUCGGGUUGUAAACCGCUUUCGCCUGUGACGAAGCGUGAGUGACGGUAAUGGGUAAAAAAGCACCGGCUAACUACGU